ACGUAACUUGGCUUUGAGCAACAUUUCUUCUUUGGUGAGUGUUUAGCUUCCCUUCUCUGUCUGGUGUAAAGACAUGUGUCCGUCUGAAUCCAGCCCAGACGGGGCCCCACGCCUUGCGCCUGCCCCUCCCCGUGGCACUGUGGUACAUUUCCUAACUGAUCCCGGCUCUCACUUGGUCAGUGCGAAUGCGCCGGUGGACGGACCUACGCAGCCACCGCCGACGGGAGCAGCAGAGACCUCUACAUCUUUUGUCUGAAUGUGAGCCCCACAGCCCGCUGCAGACACCUCGGUUCUCUAUCACGAGGAAACCCACCAUGAGGAAUGAACGAAUAUACAACUAACUUGAAGGCUGCGUCUACGUAUCACGGAGCGGUAACCCAGACACCAUCAAAGUCAUACAAGCCGGUGACACAGGUCAAGUGAUUCCUCAUUAAAUGUGGGAGAUGAAGAGGAGAAGGGGGAAACAAAGCCCUGACUUCAUCUUAUGGCUCCAAGCCAGGCUGCAAAGAAGGAAUCUGUGAAAUUCAAGAUGUCAAAAGCACAGAAAGGAAUCCAAAGAAGUUGGUGAUUGCACUUCUGUGAGUGUUCGCCGCAAAUAUUCAAGUGGUUCAUAGCCUGAUGCCCUUUCAGAGCUUGUUCAGGCUGCACGGCUGGCAUGGUGAGAAUCAGUCAAGAUAGGCUACGGCUGUUCUGUGCUACAGACAGAUGUUUCUUUGACACUCCCCUUACCAGACUUAUCCCUGGGACACGAGGAGGCAGAGCCAUGACUGCCUGUGCUGUCUGGGGACCGAAUAACAGAUGUGCAGGGACCAACCACCAGGAGACUUUGGAAGAGACCAACAACCCCACCUCGGGCAGCUGGGAACGUCACCAGGAAAACGGAACAAAGGCAAACAAAAUGCAGUCAGACGCCAGUCUGUAUACAUGACAGAGGAAACACUGGUGAUUCAGGUACAAAUGCUCUAAGUACAGGAUGGCAUAAAGCAGGAAGAAAAUCCCUUUCAUAAGCCACAGAAGGUUGGUUCAAAUCUUUAAAUGAUAAACCACAUUUCUAGUCAAGCCAAAUACAGAGUACAGUAUCUUAUUCUCUUUGGCUAAAAUCUGAAUGGUUACUAUGAGCCACGAGCCCAGGCAAUGCGCUGAAACGAAUCUCACUUAAUUUCCACAACACCCUUAGGAGUCUCCCCCAUUUCACAGAGGAGGAGACUGAGGUUAAGUCAAAGAAAGUCACAGAGCUGGGAUUCCAACCUAGGACUUAUUCUAAGGCCUGUGCCUUUAGCUCCCACUCCACCAGUGUAUUUCAUCAUAAUUAGUGAAAAUAAACACAAAUGUCAAAUUGAGAGAUUAUUUUGUAUAAGAUAAACAGACUGAGAUAAUGCUGGUUAAAGAAUAGGGCAAGAAUGUUCUAUCCUUGUGGAAACAUUGAGACACAGAGGAUGCUCCAGAGCAGCAGUUUUAAGAAAAGUUAAGUGAAAUUGACUGGCAUCCCAGGCAUGAGCAAUGCAUUCAAGAUUCUAUUAGGAAAGCAAAACAAUGAAAUUAUCUCAAUUAUUGAGUUAACAAGGAGAUUUCACCAUCUACAUUCAGGCCAUGAGUAAGACAUUUAUUUGAAUUAGAUAAGAAGAUAUAAUGUCAUUUGAAGGAGGCCCCGUAAAUUUAAUAACAGAGAUAAAUGAAACUGACAAUGAUCUCACACUUUAUAAAUCUAAACAUGGGACAAAGGUUAGACACAGGGACCCUAGUGGUUGAUGGAUCAGCUUGAAGGCUGCUUCUUAAACUGCCUACUGGAGACUGGACAUGAUUUUUAUGUUUCCUUCACCUAACCAAGGAGAUUAAGAAAGAAUUAAUUCCCUGUAAACCAAAGUACAGGAGCAAGAAACAACCUUGAACCUUCCCUAUUCAAACAGCAGCUCUGUCGGUAAUUUAAUCACUAACUGAGUUGUGCAACCUGCCUGUGACAAAUGGUAAAAUACCUACAAUUUGGAAAUCUGCCAGAUGAUUCCUUUGGAGGCCGGGGAAAGGAAGCCCGAGCCGGCUCACCCCCACAUUCUGCCCCCCUGGCUCUUGCUCCUUGCCCUCAAUUGUUGAAAUCGCUUCUGUAUUAGGAUAGAAAUGGGAACAGUCUGGACCUAGCAAGAGAGUGAAGUCACUGAAACAUUUUAGGAUGCUCGGCUUCCCCGCCUUCCCUUCCCCACUCCCGUUUUGUACUACUUGGCAGCAGGUAGCCCCCUACCAGGCACAUCAUCGAUGCUCCCCCAAAUUUAAGGGUUAGCAAGGAGCAAGUCUGAGGACCUGCCUGAUCUGGCCUCUUCCCCACUGUUCAGCCUCGUCUCACGCCUCUUUCUCCCUUGCUUGCUCCAGUGUUUAGUUUUAGAUGCAGACCCCUUGAAUAGUAGCGAUCCGGGCCGCCCUUCUCUUUCCUAAUAACCCAGAUUCAUUCUUCAGUCUCAGUUUAGGCUCCAUUUUACCGUGGAAGCUUUCCUAGGCCAUCUGAACCAUUCAGAUCUCCUUGCCACGAGCUUCCAUAGCUCCCCGUGCUUCCCGCACUAACUAUGUCUCUGUCUUCUCUGCGACACCAGGGGGCCUUGGGGACAGGUGCAAUGUCCUCUUUGUCCCCAGUGUAUUCCAACAUCCAGGACAAUGCCUGGCAGGGCACCUGCCCUUAAUCAGUGUUUACAGAAUGGAUGUUUGCCUUCUUCAUUUUCUUUUGAAGAAGGUAUUAUAAAAUAUUUAAGACAUAUGUAAAUGUGUAAAGAAAAAUAUCACAACACCCAGAUAUCAAUACAGAUACAAGGUUAAGUCUCUGUUUCCUGCUUCGUGAUCAUAUUCUGCUCUAGAGGCAAUUAGCUGUCUGAAUUUGGUGACUAUUAGUUCCAUACAUUUCUUAAUACCUUUACUACAUGCGCGUGCAAACCAUAGAAUCAUUUCAUGUGUUUUUGUAGGUUAAGUGCUUAUAUGUAUCGUUCUGCCACCGCCAUCCUCCAAGUCUCUGUGCAUCAUUCAUGCUGUUGCCUCUAGUGAGAAGGGACUUAUUUUCACUUUUGUGUCAUAUUCCAUUGUAUGACUAACCCCCCUAUUAGUCUGUUUUCAUGUUGGGGGAUUAUUUUCUACAUUUUUGCUAUUACAAAAUGCCAUGAAUAUCCUUGCACUCAGAAUGCUUUUCUUUUUUUAAAUAACAUUGUAGUUGUCAAUAUACUGGAUCUUUUCAUUAUUCAUCGGUCAAAACUGACCUGUACUAGGUCUUUGAAAGCCAUAGGAGAGACAGGUAAUUGGAUAACCCAAUUUACACUUGUGUGAAAAUGUGUAUCUGUGGAUUUAUGAAAGGCACUGCAGAAUGGUGACAAGGACACUGAUGUGACAGGCCAGCAGAGGCGGAUUCCAGGACCCGCUCACUUGCUGGCUAGUUGUGCUAUAUCGGGGGUAAAAGCUUCAGUUUUCAUUCUGUAAAAUUGGAAUAAUAGUAUCUUAUCUGUCUACUUCACAAAGUUGUCACGAGACUCAAAUGAAAUACUGUUGCUGAAAAAAUGUUGAAACCUGUUGUAUUAUGCGAUGUUGGAACAUCAACAAUGAAAUUUU